rnacentral:rRNA from 1 species
AAUCAACGCUGGCGGCGUGCCUCAGACAUGCAAGUCGAACGAUUAAGACUCCCUUCGGGGAGUGCAUAAAGUGGCGCACGGGUGAGUAACACGUAAGUAAUCUACCUUUGAGUGGGGAAUAACAACCGGAAACGGUUGCUAAUACCGCAUAAUGCAGCGGCACCGCAAGGUGACAGUUGUUAAAGGAGCAAUCCGCUUGAAGAGGAGCUUGCGGCAGAUUAGCUAGUUGGUAAGGUAAUGGCUUACCAAGGCUACGAUCUGUAUCCGGUCUAAGAGGACGGUCGGACACACUGACACUGAAUAACGGGUCAGACUCCUACGGGAGGCAGCAGUCGGGAAUUUUGGGCAAUGGGCGAAAGCCUGACCCAGCAACGCCGCGUGAAGGAUGAAGUAUUUCGGUAUGUAAACUUCGAAAGAAUGGGAAGAAUAAAUGACGGUACCAUUUAUAAGGUCCGGCUAACUACGUGCCAGCAGCCGCGGUAAGAC